rnacentral:rRNA from 1 species
CAGCCGCCGCGGUAAUACCGAGGGUGCGAGCGUUAAUCGGAUUUACUGGGCGUAAAGCGUGCGUAGGCGGCUUUUUAAGUCGGAUGUGAAAUCCCUGAGCUUAACUUAGGAAUUGCAUUCGAUACUGGGAAGCUAGAGUAUGGGAGAGGAUGGUAGAAUUCCAGGUGUAGCGGUGAAAUGCGUAGAGAUCUGGAGGAAUACCGAUGGCGAAGGCAGCCAUCUGGCCUAAUACUGACGCUGAGGUACGAAAGCAUGGGGAGCAAACAGGAUUAGAUACCCCCGUAGUCCCUGUCUCUUAUAA